rnacentral:rRNA from 1 species
GACGAACGCUGGCGGCGUGCUUAACACAUGCAAGUCGAACGGAAAGGCCCUGCUUUUGUGGGGUGCUCGAGUGGCGAACGGGUGAGUAACACGUGAGUAACCUGCCCUUGACUUUGGGAUAACUUCAGGAAACUGGGGCUAAUACCGGAUAGGAUCUCCUGCUGCAUGGUGGGGGUUGGAAAGUUUCGGCGGUUGGGGAUGGACUCGCGGCUUAUCAGCUUGUUGGUGGGGUAGUGGCUUACCAAGGCUUUGACGGGUAGCCGGCCUGAGAGGGUGACCGGCCACAUUGGGACUGAGAUACGGCCCAGACUCCUACGGGCGGCAGCAGUGGGGAAUAUUGCACAAUGGGCGGAAGCCUGAUGCAGCAACGCCGCGUGCGGGAUGACGGCCUUCGGGUUGUAAACCGCUUUCGCCUAUGACGAAGCGUGAGUGACGGUAAUGGGUAAAGAAGCACCGGCUAACUACGUG